UUCUACCUUCUUUACAGUCCUCAGACACUUUUGGCUGGCAUGAAUAAGUUUUUGUCACAGCUUGAAAUUACUUUCAGAAGAGAUCCAAACAAUUACAGACCAAGAAUAAACAAGCUCAAUUCAAUCAAGGAUGUGGAACAAAAGAAAAGUGGAAAUUACUUUUUCUUGGAUGACUAAAUGAAGAACUGAUUAUCAGUUGAGACAGUGACAUCUUUGUAAUAUGAAAAGCAAUCACGUUUUAAAAUGCCACACUCAUUCCAGAGGUUGAAUAGAAUGUUACUGUUAUGUAACCUAUACUGCCCUAUAGCAGUGUCAGUACCACUUUUUGUGCCUGCCAAGGCCCUGUUUUGGAUGUAAUAUUUCCAAGCAGAAACAGCUGGCUUUCCAUACCAAGAGACUAUGUGAUUUUUCACAGUGGAAAGAUUUUGGUUGAAAUAUAACUUAUUAAUGUACCAAAUGCUGUUUCCAGUUUUAUGUCUUUCAGCUGUUUUCUGUAUGAAAUGGUUUACAAAAAUGUCAAGACAUAGAAAUUACUAUUUUAAAGAAAUUUGAGCUCCAUGCAAAUAGGGGUUUCAUAAAUAAAUCUCCCUCUAAAUCUAUAACUUUUCUUUGUAUUUUGAUUAAUCAGAUUAUUAAAGUUGAAGCAUAACUCAGUCUUGUCUUGAGGAGCAAGAUUAUGGCUUAUGUUCUUUUCCGUUUCAGUA